AGACCACUUAAUCAUCCGCUCGAAAUGGAUAUAGAAUCGAAAGCCAGCACAGCUCUUCUUUUAUUAUAAUAGUACAUUUUUAUUUAUAAGAAAACAGAACGCUUCUGUAUGCGCUAAUGAUGAUAAAUGAUGCUUCAGGGGAGUGAGGCAGCGCUAAUGAAAAGCCGCCGUAUUGACGAGCGCCGGCCACCUGCGCGGGCUGCAGGAUCUCAACGAGCCGCCAAUGUCCACUACGCCUAGCGGGAGACGCGGAGCUUUCGGGCGCGCCUGGGGACGCCUCAUCAGAGCGGGGACACCGGCUGGACCUCCGAGCAGACCUCUCGAGGAUUAUCUCCUCUGUCCUGAAUAGAGGACCUACUGAAUUACUAAGUGAAAGAUGAUGAUAAAACAAUGAUAAAGCUUCAGUUUU